rnacentral:rRNA from 1 species
UACGUAGGGCGCAAGCGUUGUCCGGAAUUAUUGGGCGUAAAGAGCUCGUAGGCGGCUUGUCACGUCGGAUGUGAAAGCCCGGGGCUUAACCCCGGGUCUGCAUUCGAUACGGGCAGGCUAGAGUGUGGUAGGGGAGAUCGGAAUUCCUGGUGUAGCGGUGAAAUGCGCAGAUAUCAGGAGGAACACCGGUGGCGAAGGCGGAUCUCUGGGACGGUACUGACGCUGAGACGCGAAAGCGUGGGGAGCGAACAGG